rnacentral:tRNA from 1 species
UCCGGCGACAGUCGGCGGCUCGGCGUCGAGGCUGUCCCGAACAGCCUCGGCGACGGCGUCUUCGAGAUGUGCCGACGGCUCAACGACCGUCACGUCGAGG